rnacentral:rRNA from 1 species
UACGUAGGGUGCAAGCGUUGUCCGGAAUUAUUGGGCGUAAAGAGCUCGUAGGCGGUCUGUCGCGUCGGAUGUGAAAAUCCAGGGCUCAACCCUGGACCUGCAUUCGAUACGGGCAGACUAGAGUUCGGUAGGGGAGACUGGAAUUCCUGGUGUAGCGGUGAAAUGCGCAGAUAUCGGGAGGAACACCAAUGGCGAAGGCAGCUCGCUGGGACGGUACUGACGCUGAGACGCGAAAGCGUGGGGAGCAAACAGG